AGCACAUUGCACAGCAUCAAAAUUUAAUAUGACUAUUAAAAAAUAGUGCUUGUUUUUGGCAUGGGUUUUUGUCUACACAUUUUGAAAAUACACAAAGAAUAGUAAUCUUCUUGCUAAAAAAUGGUUUAUUAUUUUAGGUGGUGCAGGCAACAGGAGGCCCUGAACUAGCCAGUUCAGUACUUAGUCCCCUAUUGAAUAAGGACACAAUUGAUUUCUUAAAUUAUACUGUCAAUGGUGAUGAACGGCAGCUGUGGAUGUCAUUGGGAGGAACUUGGACAAAAGCCAGAGCAGAGUGGCCAAAAGAACAGUUUAUUCCACCAUAUGUUCCACGGUUCCGCAAUGGCUGGGAGCCCCCAAUGCUGAACUUUAUGGGAGCAACAAUGGAACAAGAUCUUUAUCAACUGGCAGAAUCUGUGGCAAAUGUAGCAGAACAUCAGCGCAAACAGGAAAUAAAAAGAUUAUCCACAGAGCAUUCCAGUGUAUCAGAGUAUCAUCCAGCCGAUGGCUAUGCAUUCAGUAGCAACAUUUACACAAGAGGAUCCCACCUGGACCAAGGGGAAGCUGCUGUUGCUUUUAAGCCA
rnacentral:sRNA from 1 species